UACAGAGGGGGCAAGCGUUGUUCGGAAUUACUGGGCGUAAAGGGCGCGUAGGCGGCCUUCUAAGUCGGACGUGAAAUCCCUGGGCUCAACCCAGGAACUGCGUCCGAUACUGGAAGGCUUGAAUCCGGGAGAGGGAUGCGGAAUUCCAGGUGUAGCGGUGAAAUGCGUAGAUAUCUGGAGGAACACCGGUGGCGAAGGCGGCAUCCUGGACCGGUAUUGACGCUGAGACGCGAAAGCGUGGGGAGCAAACAGG
rnacentral:rRNA from 1 species